UACGUAGGGGCAAGCGUUGUCCGGAAUUAUUGGGCGUAAGGAGUGCGUAGGUGGUUUUGUAAGCGCGGGGUGAAAGGCUAUGGCUCAACCAUAGUAAGCCUUGCGAACUGUGAGACUUGAGUGCAGGAGAGGAAAGUGGAAUUCCUAGUGUAGCGGUGAAAUGCGUAGAUAUUAGGAGGAACACCAGUGGCGAAGGCGACUUUCUGGACUGUAACUGACACUGAGGCACGAAAGCGUGGGGAGCAAACAGGAUUAGAUACCCUGGUAGU
rnacentral:rRNA from 1 species